rnacentral:rRNA from 1 species
UACGAGGGGGGCAAGCGUUGUUCGGAAUUAUUGGGCGUAAAGGGCGCGUAGGCGGUUUGGCAAGUCUAGUGUGAAAUCUUCGGGCUCAACUCGAAGUCUGCACUGGAAACUGCCGGGCUUGGGUAUGGGAGAGGUGAGUGGAAUUUCCGGUGUAGCGGUGAAAUGCGUAGAUAUCGGAAGGAACACCUGUGGCGAAAGCGGCUCACUGGACCAUAACUGACGCUGAGGCGCGAAAGCGUGGGGAGCGAACAGG